rnacentral:tRNA from 2 species
CAAAUUAAAGCUUAAUAAAGCAUUUUAUUUACAUUAAAAAGAAUCUGUGAAAUUCAGAAUAGUUUGA